rnacentral:rRNA from 1 species
UACGUAGGGCGCAAGCGUUAUCCGGAAUUAUUGGGCGUAAAGAGCUCGUAGGCGGUUUGUCGCGUCUGCCGUGAAAGUCCGGGGCUCAACCCCGGAUCUGCGGUGGGUACGGGCAGACUAGAGUGAUGUAGGGGAGACUGGAAUUCCUGGUGUAGCGGUGAAAUGCGCAGAUAUCAGGAAGAACACCUAUGGCGAAGGCAGCUCUCUGGGACGGUACUGACGCUGAGACGCGAAAGCGUGGGGAGCGAACAGG